CACGCUUGCAGAGGUCCUACGGGCUUGGUGUUGGUUGUCGCUUGUGCUCACCUUGCUGUCACCGGGUGUUCUUCCUUUGGCCAUCUUUAGGGCUCCCCAGUUCUGGUGGGAUCUCCGUGCCUUCUGCUUAUCCCAGAGAACAUGGGUUUGACCAAGUGAGAUGGAAAAUCAAGUGGUAAACUCCAAAACAGGCUUGCAUAUUGGAGACUUACCCACCACAUGGUGAUGCCUUCCCUGACCUCCUUGAUUGCAGUGUGGGAUGUGCCCUGAUCCUUGGAAAGGGGUGAGUGAUUCCUGCAUCCUCACUAGAAGGUAAUCUCUACUUACCUUUUCUUGUGUUCAUAAGGUGGCACUGGAGAGUUGUGACCCUGCUGAGCAGUGCAAGGACUCUACUGAGGCUCUUGGUGGACUCAGCAAGAACCCACACCCGUAGAUGGAUGCCAAUAUCUAUUCCUUCCUCUGUCUGGCAAGCUCUGUUGUCCCCUGAGGUCGUUCCCAUGCUUGCAGAGGUCCUAUGGACUUGUUGGUUUUCGCUUGUGCUCACUGGGCUUAUCAAGGGUGUUCCUCUUGCUUGACACCACCUUUCCCACUCUCCAUUUCCAAGCAGGAGCUCCCUUUGGCCUCCAUGUCUCGCUCUGGCCAGGCAGAUGUGGUGUGUCAAUGGAUCAAAGCCUUCAGAAUCCAACCAAAAGAAAUGGGGAGAGAGGCUGCCCUGGGUGAGACAGGAGAAGUGCCCCUUGAAGCGGGGGACGCCCCGCUGGCACUGCCUCUCACAUCCAUCAGCAGCACAUUCCUUUUCUCUCCUUGCCACCUGGCGCUUUGCAAUCUCCCUGUGCUUGCCAAGUCCAAAUGUUCCCUGAUGGAGUCCAACUCCGGCUCGACCAUCACUCACCUGGUCUGUCCCCACACCAGCUGGCUUAGGGCUCUCCAGUACUGCUGGAUGUCAGUGCCUUCUGUUGCUCCCUGUCAACAUGGUGGUGUUCUUUCUUUUUAGGUUCAGUAACGUGUCUUCUUGUUAUGCGGUGGUACUCUUCUCUGUUUUCUUGUGUUUCAUGUUGCCUGUCAAUGCCUCUUUGGAGAUACACCAAGUGAAAUGUAAACUGAUGUUCUUUGACCCAGUGUGAUGGAAAAUGAAGAUGUAGGCUCCACUACAGCUAUCGUUCGAAACGGGAUGGACCAUUUUGACUAUUUGUCAACGCCCACCUGGCAAUCUGAAUUUAGGAGCCGCUUUCAUGGACGUGUCGCUGCAGGGCAAAGAAGGCCUCAAAACUUCAGUGGACCUGUACCCCCAAGAGAGCUCUGAAACUUAUGUUAAGAAAAUAAAUGUCUUAAUAUUUUUCUGUCUUCUAUAGUUUUAACUGUUGCUUUAGCUUGGCUGGAAAAUAGGUAUGUAAAGCUAAUUGAAAAUCUUGCUGAAGGAAGGUUUUAGUGUUUCAGACUGUUGGGUUUGUAUGACUCUCCCAAGAAGUGUAGGAAGUGUGCCAAUUUACGCAGCAGUUGCACUAAAUUGGACAAUACUGAAUUAUGUAACAAAUCAGAUGGAAAACGGUGGAAAUUGUAAAUGCGUGGAUGAAAAUCAGAGUAAGGUCGUUGAUUUGAUUUUUUUUUUUUUUGUCAUUAUUACUAAUACCUGAACCAUUUUUAUAGGCAGGAAUGACAACAGUGCAAACCAUAUAAACUUUGGGUGCAGGAACCUGUCAGGUGUAGGGUGUUGUUGGGAAUAUGGCAAUUUUGGGAUGCUUACGAGCUAUAAUGAGACUGCUCGAUGACAGCAAGGCAGGUACCAUGAUCCUAGGGCCACUAACAAUACAGUGCGGUCUGGAGAUAAAGAUAUAUUUGCUAUAGCGGGCAUGGGGACUGCAUCAAUGUAGCAUAGGCAAAAACACUGUCAGCUUCCCUUUGGGUAUUGGUGGAUGUGUGGAAAUAGAUACGCAUGUGAAAUUCUCCCAUUGAAUUGGACUGGGACAUGCACAGCAGGUUAUCUGAUGCCUCACACAAGUAUCUACACUUGCAUAGAGCCACCAUGAGGAUUUUUAAGAGCUAUGCAGGUAUAGACUAAGAGAGGGAAUACUCCACUAGUUGAAAGGACUAUGGGAUUCCAUAGUUUUAUUUGAUGGGUACUUUCAGCUGUCAGAGUCACUGAACUGGAACAAGCAGUUGUGAAUGUAUCAGUCACUAUGGAAAGAAUUGAGAACCUAAGUUUAGAAGCCAUCCAGGGUCUUCAGACAGAGAUCUCAUGCUGUAGUAAAUCAGUCUUGCAGAAUAGAAUGGCCCUCGGCCUUCUUACCACAAAGGCAUGAGGGGUCUCUAUGAUUAUUAACCGGUCACUGCGCUUACAUGGACUGAAAUGUACACGUAGAGAGUGAUUUAUAGGCCAUUUGGAGAGGCAUUUGAGAACUACACCAAGUCUCCUUACAUGACCCUUCUGCUGGAAUCAUGG
ensembl:lncRNA